GCCUAAUACAUGCAAGUCGUACGCUUCUUUUUCACCGGCGCUUGCUCCACCGGAAAAAGAAGAGUGGCGAACGGGUGAGUAACACGUGGGUAACCUGCCCAUCAGAAGGGGAUAACACUUGGAAACAGGUGCUAAUACCGUAUAACAAUCGAAACCGCAUGGUUUUGAUUUGAAAGGCGCUUUCGGGUGUCGCUGAUGGAUGGACCCGCGGUGCAUUAGCUAGUUGGUGAGGUAACGGCUCACCAAGGCCACGAUGCAUAGCCGACCUGAGAGGGUGAUCGGCCACAUUGGGACUGAGACACGGCCCAAACUCCUACGGGAGGCAGCAGUAGGGAAUCUUCGGCAAUGGACGAUAGUCCGGACGCGAGCAACGCCGCGUGAGUGAAGAAGGUUUUCGGAUCGUAAACUCUGUUGUUAGAGAAGAACAAGGGAUGAGAGUAACUGUUCCUCCCCUUCCCGGUAUCUACCAGAAAGCCACGGCUAACUACGUGCC
rnacentral:rRNA from 1 species